rnacentral:rRNA from 1 species
GAUGAACGCUGGCGGCGUGUCUAAGGCAUGCAAGUCGAACGGACUGUUAUUUGUAGCAAUACUUAGAACAGUUAGUGGCAAACGGGUGCGUAACACAUUGGUAACCUGCCUCAAAGUCGGGCAUAAUCCCGCGAAAGUGGGACUAAUUCCACGAUGGUCAUCGAAGGUGAGAUUCCUUCGAUGUAAAGCGCAAGACGCUUUGAGAGGGGCCUAUGGCCUAUCAGCUUGUUGGUGAGGUAACGGCUCACCAAGGCUAUGACGGGUAGGGGGUGUGAGAGCACGACCCCCCUCACUGGGACUGAGACACUGCCCAGACACCUACGGGUGGCUGCAGUCGAGAAUAUUCCCCAAUGGCCGAAAGGCUGAGGGAGCGACGCCGCGUGCAGGAAUAAGGCCU